CCGGAUUUUGGGGGACGCUGUUGGGGUCUCUGCAGGUGGAGCCGCAGGCGACCAUCGCUGAGAUCAAGAAUCUGUUCACCAAAACACACCCACAGUGGUACCCAGCCCGGCAGUCACUGCGCCUGGACCCCAAGGGCCGCUCUCUGAAGGACGAGGACGUUCUGCAGUCUCUGCCCGUGGGCACCACUGCCACCUUCUACUUCCGGGACCUGGGGGCGCAGAUCAGCUGGGUGACGGUGUUCCUGACGGAGUACGCCGGCCCUCUGCUCAUCUACCUGCUCUUCUACUUCCGUGUCCCCUUCCUCUACGGCCCCCGCUAUGACUUCACCGCCAGCCGGCACGCCGUCGUGCAGUGCGUGAGGGGGUGCUGGGGGGUCCU